CUCAGCUAAACUAACAGACGAGGAAACUGAAGAGUGUUGUUCGAGGAAAACAAAGAAAGAAUUGGUCGUAAUUCCUUAAAUGAGUCAUUAAUAAAAUACUAAAUAAAAAUGUUGGGAAAUUACACUUGUUUUAUUCUUGUUUCAGACAUUUUACAGAAUCAAUGAUGACAAAGUAACUUAGUUUGUUACAUGAACCAGAUUUUAUUGAUUGCAUUUGCAUUUAUUUGUUUCCUGUCUGGUGCUAAUGACCAUGAAGCUAACAGUUUCAUUCUGAACAAACUGAACCUCUAACUUGUAACUAAAGGCUGGCGCAUGCUUAAGUAAAAUCAAACCGUACCAACAGAAACGGGUGCGUUAUGCGUACUGUAGUGCUGUUGUGACCCAGCACAGAGGGAACGUUCACUUUGAGGCGGGAGACAUCCGGCCAGGCCCCGCAGAGUCUGCUUUAAGGCCAGGCCUUCAUGAACGCCGGCGGCUGAACGAACCACUAAGCCGGGACACCUGAACGCAGCACAGCUGAAGAGAGAAAGAGACAGACAGGUGAGUGAGACAGGUUAAGGACAUUGAAGUAUCACAUUAACGCAGUGGUUCUCAAACUGCGGGUCGCAGUGGUGUUACAGGUGGCUCGCAUUGGGGAAAUUGGGAAUGAUUUUAUUUUAAGAACUUUAUUGAGAACUUCCCAUAUUACAAAAGUACAAAGUACACAGACUGCUGUUGCCGAGAUUCAGAUCCAGGCUCAAAAUUGUGGAUGAAUUGAAAGGCCGCAUCAAGUUUGCAACCAUGUUUUGAAAAAAUUUGUAGUGGAAAUCAGGGUCAUCGCAGCCACUACAUGUUUUAUCAGUAUGAGAUGGCUUCAUAGAUAUACCAAGAUGGUUUUACAUUUUAUUUGUUUUUGUCUAAUGGAGCAAUCUGGUUUACCAUAAAGGGAUUGCAAUUGUUUAAUUCCAUUAUUCCACAAAGCACAACAUGUUAUUUCAAUAAAAAUUCAACAUGUACAAUUUGGUUGGGACGUGAACAUUUUUCUUCCUCCAAAGUGGAUUGUGACAGAAAGUUUGACAACUACUGCAUUAACUAGAUAAAAAAACAUCAGGAUGUAGGGCUGCGCGUUAUGGCCAAAAAUCCAUAUCACGGUAUUAAGGAAGUUUCUGACGGUAUCCCGAUAUUGUUUUUAUUGCAUUGACCCCGAAAAAGGCCGCCGGCUACCCGAACAGCUGUUUGCAAUUGGCCAGUGUAUUAGCUCGUUAGCUUGUUGUGGCUGCAAGUGUUGCCACCAGAGGCUUGAUAGACCAGAUUUUUGGAUUUUCCAAAACAACCCUGUUAAGGAGAUCAUUCCUGCCCAGUGCAAUAACACUUUACAAUAAAUCAUCCCUGGCUAAAUAAUGACAAUAAUAACAACCCUGUACUGCUGUGAUGCUGCUGCUCUUCCUCUUCUCCUUUUACAAAUUAUUAUUAUUGUCUCUUUUGGAAGGUUCUUCUUUUGUUUCAGUUUUAGUUUAUUUAAUUUAAUUUAAUAAUUUAAUAUUUCUAUCUUAUUAUAUUGUAUAUAAUGUGUAUCUUUUUAUUCUAUUUUCUUCCCUGUACAUGCUGCUGUGAUACCAACAUUUCCCUCUUGAGGGAUCAAUAAAGUAUCUAUCUAUCAAUCUAUCUAUCUAAAUAGUAUUUGUUGUGGGUUAUUCAUUGUUGUUAUAAAGUUGUGACCAUGACUCAAUCUCAACACACGUAAGAGAAGUAGCUCUGACCGCUGGAGACUCCUCCAUGACGGGUAAAAAUAAAUUCUGCCGCCUGCCGAAGAGCAACGUCGGUCGUAACACCGGUAUGAACGGUACAUGAGAAAUUAAUACCGUAUGGAAAUCUUUUACCGGAAUAUCCUUUGGACCAGUGUACCGUGCAGCCCUACAAGGAUGAUAUUCUUUCAGCUGCAGCCGUGUGAAGCAUAAUAAAUAUAUGAAUAUAGAGCUUUCCUUC
ensembl:lncRNA